UUUACACAUUAUAUAUAUAACGAACACACACAGAAUCCAUUAAUAUUUCUUACUUAAUAUCAACAUGUUUCGGCUGGAUCCGGGCGGACCCUGCAAAAACACACGAGCUUACUGUUGAAGGCGGACGGGCGGACGACCUAUUGUGAGUGCGGACGGACGACCGAUGGCGGGUGAUCCUUCACUCGAGGACGAGCCGGGCGAACGACGAAGACGCACUACCGGGCGGUUGAGAAGACGGGCGACUGAUGGUGAAUGUUGGAGCCGGACGUUCGCUCCCUGCUGCAAGCGGGACGGACGUCCUCCCCUCCUGACGGAUGAUCCCUGGCCUUCAGUUCCAAACUGGACGGGCGUCCCUCUUCUCCUUAGCGCUGCUUCACCCUCCCAAUGGGGAGGGGCCGAGUACCUGCUAAAGGCACUCCGACGCUCAAGUCAGUAAUAUGACAGGGCAUUGAAUAAUGCAUGCAUGAGUUACGUUCUAAGCAAUCUGUCCUGAAAUCAUACCUGAGACCUUUAUUUAUACUGAUCGUAAUGGGCUUUUUACCUUUUGUGGGCCUUCGAACGGCCCAAUAACACCUUAAUCUUUAUUAAGAACUUAAUGUGUCAUUAGCAUUUAACCAUGUAAUCAGCGAAGUGCAUAGGCUGGGAAUGAGGGUCGGCCAGGGAUGUUACCCUGGGUGGGCGUCCAGCUCUUGGGCGGACUUCAAUUCGAUGGACGGACGUCCAAUCCUUAGGCGAACGUCCAGCUCUUGGGCGAACGUCCUCCUCUGGGCGGACGUCCUACUCUGGGCGGAUGUCCUCUCUUUGGGAGGCGGAUGUGCUACUUCUUGGGCGGACGUCCAGCACUUAGGCGAGCGUCCACUUCAUGGGCGGACGUCCUACUUGGGCGAACGUCCAGCACUCGGGCGGAUGUUCCACAUUGGGCGGAUGCUUCAUACUGUCGGGCGUUCCACAUUGGGCGGUCGUCCAGCACUUGGGCGAGCAUCCACUUCAUGGGCGGACGUCCUACUUGGGCGAACGUCCAGCACUCGGACGGACGUUCCAUAUUGGGCAGGUGCCCCAGCUCUUGGGCGAGCGUCCCCAGGCGAGCGUCCACUCCAUGGGCGAACGUCCGUCCAGCACUCGGGCGGAUGUUCCUUAUGCCGGGAGGGCCUGUCGGUACACAACAUAUUACAUUCACCAUUUUCACUCUUUUUCACAUUCCAGGUAAUCAACUUGAGCCUACUCAAUCCCAACGAACCUGUUGCUACCUUUAGAACGCUCCAUAGUCCAAGAUCAUACAAAAAGACCUUUUAAUAUAGGAAGGAAAAUAAUUGUUUGACACGGUUAAAGAAAUUGACACUCAUUUGACACGGGUGGCCCCAAUUAAUCCGAAUGUCACUAAGAGCAAAGUUGUCCUUUGCGGGGUGUGAAAGCUGAUUGAAAUUUUCGUUCCUCUUUUGUUCCUUUCAUUUGCAUGAUCGACGCUUUCAUUUUGGAAGAGGAAGUAUAGGGCUAGGGUUGAGAGAGAGCGAGAAAGAAAAAAAAAGCGAGAACUCCAUGACUGCCACAGGCUGGACGUGAUCGAUGAUCGGAAGAGUUGAAACGGGCGAAGUGCAAAGCAUCAGAGUUUCGAAAACACCAAAUGUUCAAUCCGUGACGAGCGAGAUCGGUGGUGAGUGAGAGGCACUGAGAGGAAGAGUUUGGUAGUCAGAGAGUCAACAUAGGAGCGGAAGAGCGAGAUACUUGAAAUUUGAACCGAAGGUUACGGUAAAGGGGAAAUCGAACAAGGUAUGGAGAGUUAAUUGCAUAGAACCAAUUCUUUUCUCCAUUUCUGGUUGUAUGAUAAAUUGCAGAAUGUCAUGUGUUGGUUUGGGAUGUUUUAGAAAUUUUAGUGCAUUUAAGAAUAGUUUUUCUUACAGGUGUUUUUAUUUCAUUUGUAUGAGUAAAUAGACAUUGUAUUUAUAGGGAAGAUUUUUAAGGAAAUAUGUCUGUAAAUGUGAAUGUAUAAAUGAUAUUAACCUUAUUAUAUACAACUAAAACUAAUGUUUUAAGUUAAAUAUAAA